rnacentral:misc_RNA from 1 species
AAACCAUAGACUUUGUCUGUUUUGGGGGUCGCUUUUUGGCGUCUCCUUGAAGUAAUUGCUGUCGAGCGGAUGAGUUCCAUUAGGACAAGGCCGUUUGACGUUCAAAACUUUCUCU